AGUUACAAAGCCAGUUCCUGAAGCCCUCUUUGGCAGUGACCACUUGACUCCCAGUCCCCUUGGAAAAACCUCCUGUACUCUCUGUUGUCCAUCAUGUCUAUAGUAGUGUCCCUCUCUGGUAUCUCUCUUCAGUCACUUUGCCAUCUCAUUAUCUUCUGUCUCAGUUCUUUCUCUCAGGCUUUGGAGGAGUGUAGACUCAGAAAAGCUCUGAAAUUAUGGCACCAGAAGUAUCUCAUGCUAAUGAUGAACAAACAAAGUCCUCAGCACUCUCACAGGGCUGUCUAUGAGGAACCUCUUGCUGUGCUUUUUUGUGAGGAACGCUCAACAUCUUCUGGCUUCCACAGCAGUGCUCCAACUACUCUUGCCUCUCAAAGCUCACUGGAAAAGGUGAGGAAGUUUUGUUACAGGUCCUCUCUCUGCCCUCUAUGUACAAACUGCUCUGAAAUUGGGAUUUUUCAGGAAAUAAAUUCUGCUUCAACAUGGUAUUGUAAUUAAGAAACUGUGCUCAGUAUUUAGGCCUGAAGAGCUCUCAGGCUGUAGGAUCCUGGCAUUUGUGUCAUCAGAAGUUGUAAACUCACUUCUCUCGCAGCCCUCCUCACUUAAUGAUACUGGGAACUGCUGAGUUAGUGUCGUUCUCUUGUGUACUUCAUUCCUGUGCAUGCGAGAAUCCAGGAGAACAAAGCAGAGGUGGACUCUGAUGAGCGGAAUGAGAAUUGGCUUGGGAGGAAAUACCUGAGGUGGUGGCAUCACACAGUGACUCUGCGCCGGUGCCAGCGUGCCAAGAGGCUGCGCAGUCUGGCAAGGGGGUGGCAGCAAUGGAAAGAAGCCAGCAGGGUGGUGAUGCUGGCACAGGUGUUGGACCAGCAGCGGCUGAUAGAAAAGGCCUGGAGAGCAUGGAGACGACGAUAUUUACAAAGCUGUGUAGUGCAGAGGUUUUUGGAGGUCGAAGCCAGGAGCCUACUGUCUGAGGCAUUUAGAAGAUGGCGUCAGCUCACAGCAUUCCAACUCAAGGACAGAGGACACUGCUGAAUGGUGAGGCCUGCCUGCAGCUGCUCAUUUCAGGAGUGGAGGAUACAGCUGGCUGUCACAACAAAGAGCUGGUUUCUUGCAAUCAAGAAAGCAGUGCAUGAUCUACCUGUGUGAUUAAAAACAGUGCUGCAGGCCCAAAGCAUGGUGAUAGCCAAAGGACAACCAGGAAGAGGUGGUACCUAGAGAAAAGUCUUAUUUAAAGCACUGAUAUUCUGCCUCCCUACUGCCACAAACUUGGGAACUUACUCAAUUGUUUUUGUUGUGAGGUUGCAUUCCCUUUUCUGCUAGAGCCUGAUUUUGUUGGAGUUCUGAUUAAAAG
rnacentral:lncRNA from 7 species